rnacentral:misc_RNA from 1 species
GAUGAAGAACGCAUCGAAAUGCGAUACGUAAUGUGAAUUGCAGAAUUCAGUGAAUCAUCGAAUCUUUGAACGCAUAUUGCGCUCUCUGGUAUUCCGGAGAGCAUGCUUGUUUGAGUAUCAGUAAACACCUCAACUCCCCUUUCUUUUUUGAAAUGGGAGCUGGACUUGAGUGAUCCCAACGCUUUUCUCACCGAAAAGUGGCGGGUUACUUGAAAUGCAGGUGCAGCUGGACUUUUCUCUGAGCUAAAAGCAUAUCUAUUUAGUCUGCCUAAAAACAGAUUAUUACCUUUGCUGCAGCUAACAUAAAGGAGAUUAGUUCUUGUGCUGACUGAUGCAGGAUUCACAGAGACAGCUUCGGCUGGCCUUUGUAAACUCGAUCUCAAAUCAAGUAAGACUACCCGCUGAACUUAAGCAUAUCAAUAAGCGGAGGA